ACGGAGGGAGCUAGCGUUGUUCGGAAUUACUGGGCGUAAAGCGCGCGUAGGCGGUUUUCCAAGUCAGGGGUGAAAGCCCGGGGCUCAACCCCGGAAUAGCCCUUGAAACUGGAAGACUAGAAUCUUGGAGAGGUCAGUGGAAUUCCGAGUGUAGAGGUGAAAUUCGUAGAUAUUCGGAAGAACACCAGUGGCGAAGGCGACUGACUGGACAAGUAUUGACGCUGAGGUGCGAAAGCGUGGGGAGCAAACAG
rnacentral:rRNA from 1 species